rnacentral:rRNA from 1 species
UCCUACGGGGCGCAGCAGUGAGGAAUAUUGGUCAAUGGGCGAGAGCCUGAACCAGCCAAGUCGCGUGAGGGAGUACUGCCCUAUGGGUUGUAGACCUCUUUUGUCGGGGAGCAAAAGCCGGACGUGUCCGGCUGUGAGAGUACCCGAAGAAAAAGCAUCGGCUAACUCCGUGCCAGCAGCCGCGGUAAUACGGAGGAUCCGAGCGUUAUCCGGAUUUAUUGGGUUUAAAGGGUGCGUAGGCGGUUUGAUAAGUUAGGGGUGAAAUGUCGGGGCUCAACCCCGAAACUGCCUCUAAUACUGUUGGG